CAAAACAGUGGAGAUGACAGUGGACUUCAGGAAGAACCGCCCCGAAAUCUGUUCACAUGAUAGGAGCGCCUCGUUGCUAGGGACGCCUGAGUCGUUGCUAACGGGAAGGAGCAAAACUACUUCCCGGUCAAAAAAAAGAAAACGGGUAUCCACGUGAAAUAUCAAAGUUUAUAAGGGGAAGCUACUGGCCCUGCAACGAGACAUUGAUUGGGAGUCCCUGCCCAGGCUGCCAGCCAAACCCUUGACAAGCCAGAGGUUUGUUGCUGUGGAGAAGCCACAGAAAAAGGUGAUAAUGAAGAUGGAGGAAGAGAAGAGUGAGGAGAGUCUUAUAAAAAAGGAGAAGAAACACAAAAAAGCACAAGUCUCUGAGCUU